AAUGAUAAAUGAGAAGGACUAUUAUUGAUGUAUUUGCUUUCCUUUUUUAAAUUGCUGUAUAUUUACAGGUUCUCUGGCAAAAUAAAGGAAACUGCUCAAGAUUCUGAAGGUUAGUAUGCUUUCCUAGUUAAGGAAUUGGUAAAACAGAUAGCAUUCCUUCAGAAACAAAUUUAAUAAUUUUCCUUGUGGAAAACAAAUCUAGUUGUGGUUUUGGUUGAAAAUUUGGUGCACAAGUUCUUCAAUUCUCUUGCUAAGUUAGACGGGCCACAAUAGAAAACCCCUGCACAAGAAAACCCACAAUCUCAGUUAGGAAAAACAACUCAACCUUAUAUCAUUCUUAUAUAUACUAAGGUCAUUUAUUUCAAUCAUUAAACAAUAUACAAAGUUCAGAGUGUAUUUCUCACCAAUCUUUGCUCCUCCAUGCUUGCGAGCCAAUCUGGAAAAUAUGUUGAACCAAUUUGGUCGGGCAAAAUGUGUGUGUAUCUGUGAAUUCCAAGAGAAAAUUAUUCCUUAAUCUGGCAGUAGCAAAAUGUGUAGACUUGACAUGACAAAUUGUUAUUCCUAAUGAUUUUCAGUUGGAGUAUUUAAUAAGAACAUGGUUUGAAAUGAGAUAAAAUUAGGAAUAUUGCUUUGGUGUGCCGAACUUGAUCAACAGCACUAGGACAAUAACAUAGCAAUGUUUUAAACCGAAGGAUCAAACCUAAACCAUCUUAUUUGUGAACUCCACUUAGAGCUUGCUAGUAAUUUCUAUAUUGAAAAAACUAUAGGGAAGAUGCACUUACUGGAGUUCUGGAAACUAUGUCAACGCCAUUCUUGGCACGAUACAAGGCCUGAAUGACGCUUAGCAAUGCUGAACGAACAUCUCCCUCUGGAUACACACUAGUUAGGAAAUUAUGCAUUUCCACCACAGCCUUAAAAGAUUACAAGAAAACUAGAACGGUCAUAAAAUGCUUGAAGAUCUGAAUAAACAAUAUAGUUGCACUAACUCAGUUUUUCUCAGGAGCAUCCAAUGCCAGAGUCAAAUCAGGCAUACCUGUUUUUUGGUUGAAUUUGAGAUUUCCUUCAUGACAUCUCUGAACCAAUCAAAGGAGCUUUGCUCUUUUGUAACCCAAUAAAGAUAUGCUUUUGAUGGACCCUUUGUUAAGCUGCAUUCUCUGAGAUCACUCUAUUUCAAAUGCCCAAAUAUGUUGUUUGUUUCAUGGAAUAGAAGAAGAGCGAUUGAAUUUUAAUAAAGGCGCUAUGACAGUAAGUAUAAAUAGCAGAAGAAGAAGAAAGCUUACAUGAUCACUUUGUGCUGUCUUCACACCUUGAGCUACAUCUUUGAGGAUGCUAAUGAAAGGUGUGGCACCUAUGCCAAGGCCAAUUAGCACCAGAAUGUCAUACUUUACAUGGUCUUGAGAGGCAGAACCAUAAGGGCCAUCUAUGUACAGUUUUGGACACCCUUGUAAUCCAGACAACACUGCCUGCGGAUAAUCGAACAAUUUUUAGACCUGAGAAUUUGAGAAGCAUAGUUCUUCACUUGAAAAAUUCAAUUGUUACUUUACCUCUUGGAAUAGAGCAUAUAUUUGGUAACUCCAGUCUCCAAGAGUUCUAAUGUGCACACUGAGGUAGUCAUCUUGUGGUCCUGAUGUCAAGGAAAAUGGAUGCCUGAAAAUUUAUACAUAAGAAACUCACAUAGACUCUAAAAUUUCCAUAACAAACUAGAUUAGUGGUACAAGGUCUCUUGAAUAAAAAAGAUCAAGCGAUGGAAGUAGAAGUACCAUUGAAAAGAUGAAAUUUGGGGGCACUGAAUGAAUAUAUACAUGCCACUCUGGUACUUAAAACCAUCUGGUUUUUGCAUCUUGAGGUGCAGAACUUUUCCUGGGUAGAGACUUACCUGCAUGCAAAAUACAAAAGGAGAAUAAGAAAAUAUUUAUCAUCAUCAAGAACAAUAAUAGAAACUAGUAAAUUUCAGAUUUUGGACUGUACCAUUAGAGUUUAUCAAAUGAAAAAGAAAUUUUAAAAACAGUUUUUAUGAAAAGUUGAAUAUAGUAAAGUUGAUCAAAUACCUUCAAAACAUCAACUUCGUAGGAUCCUGAUCUAAUUGCUCGGAAGAACCUCUCUCCAGCGUACAAUAAAACUGGAAAAGCAAUGUACAUCCAUGUCUGCACACAGAAAGAUGGAGGGAAUGAAAAUCUACAUCAAAAUUUGUUCUGUAAUUUUUUUUAGUUAAAGAGCUUUAGGACUUAAACUAUCUUAGGCAUGUAAAAUAAACUAAUAAUGAUGAGUAGAUUAAUCACCACACUAAUGAGGAGUAGUUUAAAUGAUUUAGAAUAUGUCUUAGUUUAAUAUUGCAUGCUCUCUCUCUCUCUCUCUCUCUCUCUAAAUAUUUUAUCAUUUUUGGGUUACAAGAGGAAGAUUAUAUUCAUCAUUGAUCUUAUUUAAAAAGAGAGGCACAAAUUGAGUUCUACAUGAAUGGGUAUCACGAGUUUCAAAGGGGUUUCCUAUAAAAGACUAAAAGCAUGUUUGGAUCAUUUUCUUUUUUCCUUAGAAUCAAUUAUAACACCUAGAAGCUACUCACAUAAGCUUCUUCCUAGAAUUGAUUUUAACUUUAGAGCCAAUGGUAGAAGGGUUUCCAAACAUGCACUAAGCUUGAAUGAAUUAUUCAAUUUUUAACCAUUAGAUGCAUUUUGUUUAGAGGAGGGGAAAAAACUUUUCACUAUAUAAACUUUGAGAUUAGAGCUAACAAUAGUGUAACUUUCAAAAAAAAAAAAAACAAUAGUGUAAACAUAAAGUGCUAAAAUUACGCCAAAAAUAUCACAAAGAAAGUGAUAUAACAAGGAUGAAAGAUAGACAUUAAGAGGCUUACCGUUUUCUCCGCCCACUUGUUUGUUAGAAACAAGAACAUGGAGUGAAUAAUGAGCAAUAUGUACACAAGGACAAACAAGUGGUGGGAGUACCAAAAGGUGUCAUAUCCAGUGACCUUUCGGAGGGACAAGGGUAGCACCGGUGAGCCACGCCUAGGCCACUUUGUUGCUAGUGAAAAUGCAAUGGCCAUUAACACCACCAUGGCAAUCCCACUUGCCACCUCCGUCGUGGCUAAAAUUUCUAUGUACGAUGGUUGGUGAUACCCGAAUCCAGCGGCGAUAGUUUGCCGGAAAAUUGAUCUGUCUGAGUCACUGAUUCUUGGGAAGUCACAGGCAAGGUGCGUCCCACCGUGCAAGAUCACACCCACCACUAUUCCUCCCGCAAUAACCUGCAUAUAUAGCCCAUUUGAAUAACUUUAUCAAAAAAAAAUUAUUUCUACAGGUUGAUGUUGUGAAAUCUUAACUAUGAAACAUCACAAUUGAUUAUGAUCGACCACAGAGGCUAGAUCAUGUGCCUUUAAGUGAGGUUAAGAACUUAAUUUAGAUGAAUGCAAGCCAUAUAGUGUUACAUCAUAUAAUGGAUUUCCCAUCUUAGGAGUGAAUAUUGUGUGACUUAAAGAUGUUUAAGCUAUUGACAUGAAAUGCUGGAUCAAUAAGAGGGCCUACCUUAUGGAAAUUAAUGUUGUCAUUAAAUGGAAUGACAUAGUUAACACGACGGUUCUUGCGGAGCCAAGUGAUGGUAUUUCUACAAACAGGGAGAAGAACAAGGGCCAUGUUGAGUUUCAAGGUCUCAGCUGCACCUUUUGCAGUUGGAAGACAGUACCCCAUGACUUCAAACCCUGAUCUAAGGCGAUACUGAGCAAAUUUCCAUGAAAACAACCCAAUGCAUGCAAGCAGCCACACAAGAACAAUCCAAGUACGCCGCCAGUAGGUUCUGAACAACACUUCAGCCCUUGACAUUGGUUCUUGUUCUUCACACGAGCCACUGUUGUGAAAAUUCUCUGUGCUGUCCCUUGCUGAUACUUGUUUCAUUGGAGAAGUUGUGACUGUCUUUGAUAAGUUUGCCUUGAAUAGAGACUCCAUCUGAGAUAUCUACAUACAAUGAAUUUCUUACUGUUAAUAGUAUGUUUGAACCGGCUUCUCUUUCCUCAUAACCAAUUCCGGAACCCAAAAGCUACUCAAAAAGAAGCUUUUUCCCAAAAUUGAUUUUGGCUCCAUAAUGCACUAAAUAAUAUAUAUAUACAUAUGGUUGAGGGUCAUCUGGUGAAUCCUCAAUUUGCAAGGUUGAGGCUAAUUUGUACCUCAAUGUAGCCUUUGUUUUUGGUGUCAAUAGAUUCCAUGAUCAGAGCUGCAUAGUCCUCUGCUUCAUCACGUGUCACCGAUAGCUUAUUUAUAGAAGCUGUUAGUAAAAUUGUCUGCAUAAGGACCAAAGUGAUCAUCAAAUCAAGGUACAUGAACAUGCAGAAAAACUAAUCACAUAUAAUGAUGAUUUGUGCACACCCACUUGAAUUAAUUAUAGAAGUAUAUUAUAGUUUGUCUGCGGAAGAGCCAAAACUAACACGAACAUGCACAACAUGACAAUUAACACAUGAAAUUUUGAGCAGCCUCAAAGCUAGUAAUAUUAUUAUUAACUAUAAGAAAAUAAGUAGCCAAUCAUUAAAUAAGUGUUACCUGCUUUAUGUCAGUCUCUGUAAUUCUACCAUCCAUGUUUCUGUUGCACCUAAAGUAAAAAAAGCAUAACAAAAAUUACAAACUGAUUUCAGAGUUGUGAAGAAAAGAGUUUAGUAGAGGAAUUUUUAUUUAUUUUUACAUGUCAAAGAAGAUUCUCAUUCUUGAGUUAAAAGAGUCAUCUUUCAUCCUAGACCAAAAAUUGUGCAAAUCAGUCUUGGUGAUAUCAGAUUUCCAAUAUUUGCCUCCUCUUAGUGCUCUUAGCAAUUCGGUGGCUAUCCCUGGUGAUGAUUGCAUCCCUUUUGGAAAAUGACAAACUCCAAAAGUGAAUAAUUAAAAUAAUGGUUGGCAAAGUAACAUCAAAACAGGUCGGCAUACAUAGACAAAACUUUCUAAAAAAGAAUAAAAGGAUCAAGGAGACUUAAACUUGAGGAAAUGUUAAACAUUGCAUAUUGAAAUAAAUUGAGUAGGUAAAGGGUUAAUAAAAAUUAAAGAUGAUAUAACUUGUCUUUGUAUUCUUGCACUAUAGUGUAUGCGGAGAACAUGGCCAACUGCUAUAAGUGACACAAGAUAAACAGAACAGGCCCCGAAAAGGACUGGUCAAUCAUGCAUUGUGAAUUAUUAUGAAAUGAUUUAUGAUUAUGAAGCAAAGUGAUAAUGUUAUAGUACUAAAAAUGUUUGACUUUUUCUAUAUUCUCACCAAUGCAGAACCCAAAUUCAGACCAAGCUACAACCGGUUCAGGGCCGCCCCCGGUCCAGGCCACUCGGUCGAACCGCUUCUCCACUUCCUUCCACUCCAUUCUACCCUGACCGACAAUGUCAUUGAGGAAUCCUAUGCUUUGAAUAGCUUCAUUUUCUGCCACCUCAUGCAGUGGUGAGUCAUCAAAGCCGGUUCGAACUGGAGACAAGGACUGAAGAACAUACUCAGCAGUCCAUGAAGAAGAAGAGGAGGAAGAGAAGGAGCAUGAGGAGGAUGAAGAAGAGGGUGAUGAUUUAAAGAGAGAAAUGAGAGAAUGGUCAUGAAAAGUUUGAGCCUUUUCAAACCCAUCCAUUGAUGGAUUCUGAAAAAAAUGAAGCUUCUUUAUGAUAAUCAAGGUUUCAUGGAAGGUGGAGAUUCUAUUAUAUCAUGUUCUCAAGAAAAUGUAGAGUGUGUGUGGUGAUGGAAAUAUAAAUUUGCUUCCAAGGAAAGAAUGUCAAUGGAUUUUAAGUAUUUGACAUUUGAAGCAGAGAAGAUGAGAGUUCUUAGCUGGAGUUGCUGGAAUGAAUGGAAUUGUUUAAAUUUUUCCUAGUGGGUUCAAGAAGUGGC
rnacentral:lncRNA from 1 species